rnacentral:lncRNA from 1 species
GCAAAACUGAAUAUUAAGGUUCUUAAGAUUCAUAUUUCCUGUUAUAUUACUGGAUGACUUGCUUUUGGGAUUUAGGAACAGUGAAGGCAGGAAACAGAAUAGUCAAGGAAAUAAGAAAACUUAUUUGGCUUCAGUGAGUCCCUAGUUCAAAAUCAGAAAUAUUUAUUUCAGUUUAAACUGGGGAGUUUGUCUUUUCAACAUCAGUUAAUGCUUG